rnacentral:rRNA from 1 species
GACGAACGCUGGCGGCGUGCCUAAUACAUGCAAGUCGAACGCAGGGGGGACGGGUGAGUAACACGUGGGUAACCUCCCAUCAGAGGGGAUAACACUUGGAAACAGGCGCUAAUCCGAUACGGAUGGAUGGACCCGCGGUGCAUUAGCUAGUUGGUGGGGUAACGGCUCACCAAGGCCACGAUGCAUCGCCGGCCUGAGAGGGUGAGCGGCCACACUGGGACUGAGACACGGCCCAGACUCCUACGGGAGGCAGCAGUGGGGAAUCUUGGGCAAUGGACGAAAGGCUGACCGAGCAACGCCGCGUGAGUGAAGAAGGUUUUCGGAUCGUAAAGCUCUGUUGUUAGGGAGGCGGUAUCUAACCAGGAAGCCACGGCUAACUACGUGCCAGCAGCCGCGGUAAUUC